AAAGAUUUAGUUUAUACCCAAAAUUUUGGAUUGUCAAUUCAAAGAAUUGAUUCUUU
rnacentral:tRNA from 1 species